rnacentral:rRNA from 1 species
UGGGGAAUAUUGGACAAUGGGGGAAACCCUGAUCCAGCGAUGCCGCGUGUGUGAAGAAGGCCUGCGGGUUGUAAAGCACUUUCAGUAGGGAGGAGGAUUAUCAGGUUAAGAGCUAGAUAAUUGGACGUUACCUACAGAAGAAGCACCGGCUAACUCCGUGCCAGCAGCCGCGGUAAUACGGAGGGUGCGAGCGUUAAUCGGAAUUACUGGGCGUAAAGGGUGCGUAGGUGGUCAAUUAAGUUAUCUGUGAAAAACCUGGGCUUAACCUAGGGAGGUCAGAUGAAACUGAUAGACUCGAGUAUAGGAGAGGGUAGUGGAAUUUCCGGUGUAGCGGUGAAAUGCGUAGAGAUCGGAAGGAACACCAGUGGCGAAGGCGGCUACCUGGCCUAAUACUGACACUGAGGCACGAAAGCGUGGGUAGCAAACAG